AAAUUAAUCAACAGGUAUUUCAAUGCUACUAUGAAAGUCUACGGAGCUGAUGGAGGGCUUGGCAAGGCUUGGGGAUGCGUGCGAGUUAGAAAUGAGCCGAGAAAGACAUGAGGAAGGGCUAAAGAAGGAGGUGAACUCUAUUGGUAGGUUGGUGGGGAGCUUGGCAAGGCUUGGGGAGGGUUGCAAACUAAUGGAGAGCUGAUGAGGCCCGGGAGAGGAAUGGGAAAAAAGGUCCAGGAAGAGGAUGAAGCUAAAGUGUUGUAGAAGACGUGAGGAAGGGGUAAAGAAGAACUAAGAGAAGGUGGAGAACUCUAGUAGCUUGCUGAAGAGGAUUGGGGAGAGUUGCAAGCUAAUGGAGAGCUGAUGAGACCAUGGAAAGGAGUCGGAAAAGGUUCAGGAAGA